GACGAACGCUGGCGGCGUGCUUAACAUAUGCAAGUCGAACGAAGUGGCGAACGGGUGAGUAACGCGUAAUCAACCUGCCCUUCAGCGGGGGACAACAGUUGGAAACGACUGCUAAUACCGCAUACUGAAGGAGGGGAUUGCGUCAGAUUAGCUAGUUGGAGGGGUAACGGCCCACCAAGGCGAGGAUCAGUAGCCGGUCUGGGAGGGUGAACGGCCACAUUGUGACUGGGACACGGCCCAGACUCAUACGGGAGGCAGCAGUGGGGAAUAUUGGACAAUGGACCAAAGUCUGAUCCAGCAAUUCUGUGUGCACGAUGAAGUUUUUCGGAAUGUAAAGUGCUUGCAGUUGGGAAGCGGUACCAACAGAAGAAGUGACGGCUAACUACGUGCCAGCAGCCGCGGUAAUAC
rnacentral:rRNA from 1 species